UUCAGAACCACUCCCACAGGGUACUUAAGUGAACUCUCAAACGAGGAACACGUGGUCUCUUUCCUUCCUUCUGGUGGUGGCAUUAGUCUGGUUUCCCCUUGGGGACACCUGAGAGCGCAGGAAUCGCAUUAAACAUGGAUGUUUCUUAAUUUGUUUGUUUUGAUUUGGCUUGAUUGGGGUUUUUGCAUUGGCAGAGAGCUCACGUUAGGAAAAAUUCCUAAUAUCUGAAAGUUCUACUGGGUAGGGCGGCCUUUCCGCAUGGUCGAAAGCACCUAGUCUACAAUCUGAGCUCUCCACACCACGCUAAAACCAGUUCCUGGGCUACAGUGACUGCGUCUUGCCCGGACACUGGAAAUCACAAUGCCCCCGUGCAGGCUUGUCCUCUAUGCUUUGCCACGGAGGUCUAGCCUCACCAACAUCGGCAAGUGAAACUGUGCCAGCCUUCAAACUUCUCAGCUUUGCAGAGGAUUGACGCUGCCCAGACUUGGUUUAUCCCAUAACCCUAUCCAAGCCUAGGGUAAAGCUACAGGUAGCAGGUAAGUCCAUUACUUUUAAUCUCACUCGGGCUUUAUGUUCCCCUCACCAAUUUCAGUUAUGGGGGUAGACAGGACCCACUUAAAACUUGGCCACUGUCCUGAAUUCUUGCAGGACAAUUUUUCUCUCAUUCUUACUGAGUGAUACCAGCUCACCCAGCACCUUUACUGGGAAGAGAAAUCCUUAGCCGCUUCCCCAAAGCUUUGUUCUGCUUCUUGGAGCCCCUUUUGGACCCCACCCAUCUCCAAGAUCAUAUUUUACAGGUUCACUCCUUCUGCCAGACGUGUGCCCAGGCCAACCCACAAGGGGCUCUCCACAUAUGUCAGUCUUUACACCAGCUUUGCGGACACCAACCGGGUGAAGAUUGGCAGGUUGAUUUCACUCAUACG